GGCGGGGUAGCUCAGAGGUAGAGCGCCGGACUCAUAAUCCGGUGGGCGCAGGUUCGAUUCCUGCCCCCGCAACCG
rnacentral:tRNA from 1 species